GUUUGGUGUGUAUAGUGUUACUCUCCUCUGAGCAGUAUGCAUUAAUUCACAGCUAAAUGUAAAAAACAAUCCACAUUCAAAUCAAAAUAGCCGACUUCCUGUUGGUCGUAGCUGAUGACUGUGAAUUAGAAAGUUGUCCGUCUUGAUAAGAACAAUUUUUGUACUGAGUUUGGUGUCUGUAGCUAAAACUAACCCCCCCACUUUUGACAAAAGGUGGCGCUAUAGAGUGCCUCUUCCACGCCCUUUUAAAAGCUUUUGCCAUGGUCUAGCUAUCUUUAAUACUGAUAUCUGUUUCGAGUUUCAUGUAAAUCUGAGCUAGUUAUCUGCCUAAAAAUCACCAGAACAGAACAUUCAAGUUUGACACGUUGCCAUGGCAACACUAUAUUAGAUAUAAAUAUCCCCACGACAGAUUGUCUUCGGCCGUGUUUUGUCAUUAUUCUGAUGAAGUUUGAAGCAAAUCAAGUAAAAAUAAAAUGCUGAAUUCAAA